CCUACGGGAGGCAGCAGUAAGGAAUAUUGGCCAAUGGACGAAAGUCUGAACCAGCCAUGCCGCGUGAAGGAUGAAGGCCCUCUGGGUUGUAAACUUCUUUUAUCUGGGACGAAAAAAGCUCAUUCUUGAGCACUUGACGGUACCAGAGGAAUAAGCACCGGCUAACUCCGUGCCAGCAGCCGCGGUAAUACGGAGGGUGCAAGCGUUAUCCGGAUUCACUGGGUUUAAAGGGUGCGUAGGUGGGUCUGUAAGUCAGUGGUGAAAUCUCCGAGCUUAACUCGGAAACUGCCAUUGAUACUAUAGGUCUUGAAUCAUCUGGAGGUAAGCGGAAUAUGUCAUGUAGCGGUGAAAUGCUUAGAUAUGACAUAGAACACCAAUUGCGAAGGCAGCUUACUACGGGUGUAUUGACACUGAGGCACGAAAGCGUGGGGAUCAAACAGGAUUAGAUACCCUGGUAGUCCACGCCCUAAACGAUGGAUACUCGACAUCAGCGAUACACUGUUGGUUGUCUGAGNGAAGACAUAAGUAUCCACCUGGAGUACGACCGCGAGUAGUAACGUACGAAGAAGUUAGACGGCGNGAGAGNGCCGACGGACGACGACGAGGGAGGAGG
rnacentral:rRNA from 1 species